UCAAUUCAAAUAAAGAAAGAAGGAAAGGAUCGAGACAAGAAAAUACGGUCAAAGAAAGAAUACCUGAGAUAAGAAGACAAGAAGAUAACAAUAUUGCAUCUAAAACAAGUAAUACUAUGACGAUUCAAGCAGAGAUUCACAAUCCCUCAAGAGAGGAGGUUUUUUUAGGCAAGAACACAAGAGAAAUCACAUCAUGGUUCACCAGUAACACCAAAACAGAGAAAACGAAAGGAUUCAAGCCUAGAAGAGAGAGAGGAGGUAGAAGAAACAAACAGAAAAAGAAACAAGAAGAACAGCCAAUAGGUAUCUUUAACCAUGCAGG